rnacentral:rRNA from 1 species
UACAGAGGGGGCAAGCGUUGUUCGGAAUUACUGGGCGUAAAGGGCGCGUAGGCGGCCGCCUAAGUCAGACGUGAAAUCCCUCGGCUCAACCGGGGAACUGCGUCUGAUACUGGGUGGCUUGAAUCCGGGAGAGGGAUGCAGAAUUCCAGGUGUAGCGGUGAAAUGCGUAGAUAUCUGGAGGAAUACCGGUGGCGAAGGCGGCAUCCUGGACCGACAUUGACGCUGAGGAGCGAAAGCUAGGGGAGCAAACGGG